rnacentral:rRNA from 1 species
AUGGCUUCUUCCGGUUCCAUGACAAGGCCCCCGUGUGCUAACCGCGAGGACACGCCGGACAAGUGGACAGACGCCGAGUUGGAUAAGGUGAAGGACAAAGAUAUGAGAACUCCAUCAUGUUGGUGUGGAGAUGUUUGCAAAGUUAAGGUAUCCACCGACCGCAAGAAAUCAUGGACAGAAGGAAGAAGAUAUUUUGUUUGUCCCAACUAUGCCUAUGAUCGUCCUCGUCCAGCUCACGUCUAUGAUGUACUGUCGGUAAAUUGUUGA